CCCGGCGGCAAUAGCGCGGUGGUCCCACCUGACCCCAUGCCGAACUCAGAAGUGAAACGCCGUAGCGCCGAUGGUAGUGUGGGGUCUCCCCAUGCGAGAGUAGGACACUGCCGGCA
rnacentral:rRNA from 1 species